UCUGGCCAGCAGGGUCUCUCUCUCCGACUGCAGCUCUUUGCCGAUGGUGGGACGUCUGAUCAACUCCUUGUGCUUUUGAAACACCUGCAACAGCUAGACGACAAACACACAAGCACAUACGAUCCACAACAUCCGGCAUAGACAAGCCAUCAAGACCCCCAUACUCCUGGUGGAAACACAUAGUUAGUUCCCCAUUAGUUCACUGCAAUUAUCAGCUAUUAAAACUCAGAGAGAUCAUCCCAGUACUGGAACUCAUCACUGGGCGUCAGGAUGCCUGCAUAGAGUGGGUUAUCAGAUUCAGUGAAGAGGUUGUUUUUAUUCUUUUUUCGAGAGCAGCCUUCAUUAAGAAAUUAACAAAUGCAGCCACUACACCACCGUGCAGGCCUAUUUUACCAAAUCACAUGUAUAAUGUUAAGUCCCACCAAAAUCUAAAUAUUUGUAAAAAGAAAAAAAAAGAAUGAUCACUAUGCACUACAACCCAGACCGGUAUAUUUCUUU